GUCCCUGUAACACAAUGGAUAGCUUGUUGGACUUCUAAUUCAAAGGUCAUGGGUUCAACUCCUACCUGGGAUC